rnacentral:lncRNA from 1 species
UCAACAUCACAUAGGAUUCCACGGUCACACAUAUCACAUUAUAUCUUAAUUUCAACAAUUACAUCACAUAUAAGCCCCAUCAUGGACACAACACAUAAAUAGCCAUUUUUCAUGAUUAAUUUUCAUCCUUAAUAUGCAUUUUGUACCAUCAUUUACUACCAGGUUCUAAAUACCAUUUUCUUUCUCCUAUAUGGUGUGUAAUAUCUGAUAAAAAUUACACGUACAACUUUCCUGUGUAUAUCAUAAAACUGAUUCAAGUUAAUUUUUUCCAAAUCCUUUGAAGCCAUGAACGGAGACUAGAGUAGGAUAAUGGAGAGACGAGCAAAGCUUGGACUGCUUGAGGAAACUUGACCCGAGUUUAGGAUAGUGGAGAGACGAUCAAAGCUUGGACUGCUUGAAGAAGCUUGACCCGGUAAAACUCUAAACCCGUCAGAAACCUCAGACUCUUCUCGCCCUUUCGUUUAGAUUUGAGCACCUAACCUCUUAUUUACUGCUUCAGCUACAUUGCCUCUUUAUGUUGAACUGAUUUAAACGGGUGGUCCGAGUUGCAGCAACAAAAAUAACUAAAACCACCCAUUGGAGAUCAGUGAAAAUCUACUUCGUAUGGAGGUUUUGAUUUCCGGCCUAAGAAUUUUCAGCCUUAGCUUUCUGAUCAAUUUUUGUGGAA